GUCUGAGUCCAUGAGGGUAAAGGACAUUUUUUUCUGAGUAUAAAUAUCACUACAGAAAUCCAGUGAGCUUCAGACUUCAGUUGAAGAUUUUAGCAGAAGAUUUCAUCUCUGAACUUCCCACGGACACACAGAGACUCCAGAUCUUCUCGCUGACUGUUCUAAGAUGGUGGCACUUUCAACGUACCUGAAGCAGCCGAACUUCAUUUACUUACAUUCAUAUCUAUGGCUGGCAACCGUAUCUGUGGCGAAUGCUAGAAUUGAAGGAACAAAGACUCAAGUUGCAGCCCUAGGAAGACCUCUGUCUCUUGGUAUGCUUUACGACUGCCGUGAAGAUACCUUCAUUCCAGGUG